AAUUCUGCAAUGAUUGACUUUGUGUAUAAGUCAUAUUGGACACUCCACGAGGGGCUAGUUCUGUGGAACAAAUUCCCAGAAGUGCUACUAUAAGUCAGAUGGUGUCACAUUUUCAAUUCUGAUAAAUAUUGACAAAUUGUCCUCCAUUGCUGCUGUGCCAGUUUACACUCCCAGUGACCAGGUAAAAGAAUUAAGGUGUUAAGUGACCACCUUUGACAUCAGGAAGUAUCUGUGGCAGCCUCUAUACUGCAGGGGAAUCAAAUGGGGCAGAAAGUGUUGGCUGUUCUGAGCCAUUGAGACCCACUGCAUGAUUCCAAUAGUAAAUAUUAUAAUGCAGCUGGAUAUUGAGGCUAAAUCUAAUUCUAUAUGGUGUUACACACAUGCCCUCUUUUUCUUUUGGGAAAAUGUCUCCUAGAAAUUAUAAAGGAAUAGAGCAUAAAUUAUAAUAAUCUAAAAGUACAUGUUUGUAAUACAACAGGAUCUACCCCAUUGCUGUUCAACAGAACUUUCUGUGAUGAUGGAAAUGUUCUGUAGCUCUGUUAACGGAAAAUACAAAAAAAAGGCAUGGACUGGAUCACCGACAGAAAAUCCAAGUGGCACUCGGAGGUCUUGGAGUGUUGAGGUUUAUUUCACACCCGCAGGCUCAGAGGGGAGUAAUCUCCCAAAAAGUCUGAGCCCCAAACAAAGGCAAAGGGAGCAAUAUAUAUCUUUCUGCUUCCUUAUCUGUAACAUUCCUACGUGCACAGCAAGCGAGCAGGCAAGGGGGAGGUAGUUUAGGGAGUGAACCUUGGGAACCGAUGCUCGGCAGAACGGGAAACCAAGGAAGUGGUUUGUUUUUUUUUGUUUGGGUUGAGGAGGAGGGCGAGGUGGAGAGGAGCCACCUGUAAAUUACUGUCCUUGUAGUGCUGUUUAUGUUGGUGGAGGGGCGAGACAGAGUGGAGUCACCGGCCAGGUUGCUGUCCUUGUCAAUUUUCCCUAUCAUUCCCCCCCUCUGAUGCCCCUUCAAACACUUUGUUUUAGGGGGCAUCAUCUCCCUGGCUUAUGACAGGGUCAUAGUGGCUCCUCAUAUACAUGAGCUGUAUGUAGGAAAUGCGUUCUUUGAUAAAGUUAAUGAGCCAGUUAAAUAUACAGGGUCCCACUAAUAGUUGAAGGAACAGCAGAAUCCCUGGCCCAGCAAGGCCAGUUAGAGGAGUUGUUAGUCAUGGAUUCUAUUCAAACCAUCCCUGGAACUAAGACUUUUUAUUUUCUAACAUUUUAUUCCUAUGCUGGAGGUUUUUCUUUUUUUUUUACUUUGGCUAGAUAGCUCCUAACUAUGCCAGAGUUGUUUGUAUAAAAACAACAAUCUUCUUUAAGGGCUGUACAUAAGCCUCCUUGUGACAUGAACAGGAAGUCCAGUCCUCUAUGAUUUUGCAGCAUCACUUCAGCCAGGGAAUCAAUUUGAUCUUACAGCUGAAUCGUGGUGGUUUCAAGCUGCUCUAAAUCUUGAUCAGCGUCCUCUGUUAGGGCAGCGAGACCUAAGUCUCUUUUUAUUAGAGCCACUGUGCCUACUGCAGCUGAUCCAGCUCCACUGAGCCCAACCAGAGCAGGGAUCAGUAAAGGGGCAGCCUGUUCAGCCUAGGAAAUCUUACAGGGGGACAGGAGGUAGCUCCCUUCAGGCCUACUAUGCACUUUAUAACUUUGUACAGUUAAACAUUACAGAGAGGUACUUUGGAAGUGCAGGCUGAGACUUGAGUUCAGCUAGUAGAGACACAGCAAAACAACUUAACUAUUACCCAAUAGAUAAUAGAAAGGGCAACUUUUUUUUUUUUGAGGAAUAGUCCAGUCCAGGGGUGCAACAUCACAGAGUCCAAUGCCCAGAAUAAAAGACACCACUCUGACGAGAGCCAGGAUCCACAGCGCGCAGGUGUCUAUAUUAGUCAGAGGGCAAUCGUCGGAUGCGGAGGCGGACAGGAUUUGGAGGUCUGGCUGGGCCUCCCACUGAUAUGCUUCUUUGUCAGGAUGAUAGUGAUGCUGGGGUUAUUGUUCCUGAAGUCGAAGAAUGAGCUUCACAAACAUUCAAGAGGCCCUCACCCUACUCUGCCUAAUCCCUCCAUCCCUAUCUCAAUGGACCCUUCUCACUCUGGAAUGAUGGACCCCUGGAGUGAUGCCUGCAACCUUGAGGGCAGUAGGAGUGGUUAGAACAACAAUGUGGGGGCCAGUCUACUGAGGUUUAAGGGGGUCUUUUUUCUAAUUUUUAACUCAAACUGAGCCCACAGCCUGGAGGGAAUGUUCCUAGAGAGAUCGGGGCUCUAUGGUGUAUUGUUAUAGUAUAUUUAGGGUGGCUUCCAAGGCUUGGAGAUGUUCUCCUGUUCCCUUAUCUCCUAUUUGGUGUAGGUUCUCUGAGACACUUCCUAGACAAGGGGGAGGGUGUCUAUAUACUAAUUUAAAAGGGAAAAAAACCUUGAGUUCCAGGUGUGCAGCCAGCAUGCAGGAGAGCCAGGGGCAGUGAAUCUGGCCACAGGUGACCAGUUUUUUGGCAAAACUUAGCUAGGGUUCUUUUGAGGGUGGAUUCAUUUGCUCUACUUUCCCUGAACUCUAUGACCUGUAUGCAGUGUGAAGUUUCCUGGUAAUAUUGAGGGAUUUAGUUAACAUUUGCACUACAUCUGCUAUAAAUGCAGGCACAUUGUCACUGUGGAUUGUGGAUGGUAGGCCAAACCAGGGCACAGUUUCUCUCAGGAGGACUUGGACUAACUCCCGGCUCCAUUCUGUUCUGGUUGGGAAGGCUUCGAACUAGCUAGAGUAUGUACACACUAUUACUAGGAGGUAUCUGAGUCCCCUGCUUGGCUGGACAUCUGUGAAGUCUAUCUCAAGGUCUUUAAAGGGGGCAACUCCCAUUCUUUGGACACCAGGUAGGAGUCGUGGCACAGACCAAGUAUUAUUUCUGGCACAAGUUACACACUGUCUACUUACUGCUCAGCAUAGUGCUGGCAACUGGCUGAUGUAGUAUUGCUUUUUGAGGAGGGCCUCUAGUGCAGUUUCUCCCAGGUGGGUGAGCUGGUGGUAUUUGCUGACUAGCUGCCUCCCGGUUGCAGUUGGGACAAAGAUACAUCUGUCUGGCAACAUCCACCAUCCGUUUUCAGUUAAAGUGGCUCCUUCAGUUAUGGCCCAAUCUUUCUUCUUUUCAGUGUACCUGGGUAGAGGGGCCUCUACCUGGGGUGUUAGGGCCAUAGUGAGGGAAGGAGCUCUCCCUGACUCUUUACUGGCUGCUGUUUUGGCAGCAUCAUCUGCCAUCGAUUCCCCUGUGCUAUAGGGUUGUUUUCCUUUUGAUUUUCUUUGCAAUGCAGAAUUGC